rnacentral:rRNA from 1 species
AACGAACGCUGGCGGCGUGGAUAAGACAUGCAAGUCGAACGAUUACUAGUGGGUAGCAAUAUUCGCUAGUGAGAGUGGCGCAAGGGUGCGUAACACGUGGGUAAUUUGCCGUGAAGUCUGGGAUAACUUGCUGAAAGGCGAGCUAAUACCGGAUGUGAUUACUGGAAGGCAUCUUCUGGUAAUUAAAGUCGGGGACCGUAAGGCCUGACGCUUCUCGAUAAGCCCGCGGCCUAUCAACUAGUUGGUGAGGUAACGGCUCACCAAGGCUAAGACGGGUAGCUGGUCUGAGAGGACGACCAGCCACACUGGAACUGAGACACGGUCCAGACACCUACGGGUGGCAGCAGUCGAGAAUUUUUCUCAAUGGGCGAAAGCCUGAAGGAGCGACGCCGCGUGGGGGAUGAAUGGCUUCGGCCCGUAAACCCCUGUCAUUUGCGAUCAAACCUCACGACCUAACACGUCGUGAGCUGAUAGUAGCGGAAGAGGAAGGGACGGCUAACU